GACGAACGCUGGCGGCGUGCUUAACACAUGCAAGUCGAACGGUAAGGCCCUUCGGGGUACACGAGUGGCGAACGGGUGAGUAACACGUGGGUGAUCUGCCCUGCACUUCGGGAUAAGCCUGGGAAAAUGGGUCUAAUACCGGAUAGGACUCCGGACUGCAUGGUCCGGGGAGGAAAGCUUUUGCGGUGUGGGAUGGGCUCGCGGCCUAGAAUCUUGUUGGUGGGGUGAUGGCCUACCAAAGCAACGAAGGGUAGUCGGCCUGAGAGGGUGACCGGCCACACUGGGACUGAGAUACGGCCCAGACUCCUACGGGAGGCAGCAGUGGGGAAUAUUGCACAAUGGGCGCAAGCCUGAUGCAGCGACGCCGCGUGAGGGAUGACGGCCUUCGGGUUGUAAACCUCUUUCAGCAUCGACGAAGCGAAAGUGACGGUAGGUGCAGAAGAAGGACCGGCCAACUACGUGCCAGCAGCCGCCGCCG
rnacentral:rRNA from 1 species